GGGUUGUGAGGUUAAGCGACUAAGCGUACACGGUGGAUGCCCUGGCAGUCAGAGGCGAUGAAGGACGUGCUAAUCUGCGAUAAGCGUCGGUAAGGUGAUAUGAACCGUUAUAACCGGCGAUUUCCGAAUGGGGAAACCCAGUGUGUUUCGACACACUAUCAUUAACUGAAUCCAUAGGUUAAUGAGGCGAACCGGGGGAACUGAAACAUCUAAGUACCCCGAGGAAAAGAAAUCAACCGAGAUUCCCCCAGUAGCGGCGAGCGAACGGGGAGCAGCCCAGAGCCUGAAUCAGUGUGUGUGUUAGUGGAAGCGUCUGGAAAGGCGCGCGAUACAGGGUGACAGCCCCGUACACAAAAAUGCACAUGCUGUGAGCUCGAUGAGUAGGGCGGGACACGUGGUAUCCUGUCUGAAUAUGGGGGGACCAUCCUCCAAGGCUAAAUACUCCUGACUGACCGAUAGUGAACCAGUACCGUGAGGGAAAGGCGAAAAGAACCCCGGCGAGGGGAGUGAAAAAGAACCUGAAACCGUGUACGUACAAGCAGUGGGAGCACGCUUAGGCGUGUGACUGCGUACCUUUUGUAUAAUGGGUCAGCGACUUAUAUUCUGUAGCAAGGUUAACCGAAUAGGGGAGCCGAAGGGAAACCGAGUCUUAACUGGGCGUUAAGUUGCAGGGUAUAGACCCGAAACCCGGUGAUCUAGCCAUGGGCAGGUUGAAGGUUGGGUAACACUAACUGGAGGACCGAACCGACUAAUGUUGAAAAAUUAGCGGAUGACUUGUGGCUGGGGGUGAAAGGCCAAUCAAACCGGGAGAUAGCUGGUUCUCCCCGAAAGCUAUUUAGGUAGCGCCUCGUGAAUUCAUCUCCGGGGGUAGAGCACUGUUUCGGCAAGGGGGUCAUCCCGACUUACCAACCCGAUGCAAACUGCGAAUACCGGAGAAUGUUAUCACGGGAGACACACGGCGGGUGCUAACGUCCGUCGUGAAGAGGGAAACAACCCAGACCGCCAGCUAAGGUCCCAAAGUCAUGGUUAAGUGGGAAACGAUGUGGGAAGGCCCAGACAGCCAGGAUGUUGGCUUAGAAGCAGCCAUCAUUUAAAGAAAGCGUAAUAGCUCACUGGUCGAGUCGGCCUGCGCGGAAGAUGUAACGGGGCUAAACCAUGCACCGAAGCUGCGGCAGCGACGCUUAUGCGUUGUUGGGUAGGGGAGCGUUCUGUAAGCCUGUGAAGGUGUGCUGUGAGGCAUGCUGGAGGUAUCAGAAGUGCGAAUGCUGACAUAAGUAACGAUAAAGCGGGUGAAAAGCCCGCUCGCCGGAAGACCAAGGGUUCCUGUCCAACGUUAAUCGGGGCAGGGUGAGUCGACCCCUAAGGCGAGGCCGAAAGGCGUAGUCGAUGGGAAACAGGUUAAUAUUCCUGUACUUGGUGUUACUGCGAAGGGGGGACGGAGAAGGCUAUGUUGGCCGGGCGACGGUUGUCCCGGUUUAAGCGUGUAGGCUGGUUUUCCAGGCAAAUCCGGAAAAUCAAGGCUGAGGCGUGAUGACGAGGCACUACGGUGCUGAAGCAACAAAUGCCCUGCUUCCAGGAAAAGCCUCUAAGCAUCAGGUAACAUCAAAUCGUACCCCAAACCGACACAGGUGGUCAGGUAGAGAAUACCAAGGCGCUUGAGAGAACUCGGGUGAAGGAACUAGGCAAAAUGGUGCCGUAACUUCGGGAGAAGGCACGCUGAUAUGUAGGUGAAGUCCCUUGCGGAUGGAGCUGAAAUCAGUCGAAGAUACCAGCUGGCUGCAACUGUUUAUUAAAAACACAGCACUGUGCAAACACGAAAGUGGACGUAUACGGUGUGACGCCUGCCCGGUGCCGGAAGGUUAAUUGAUGGGGUCAGCGCAAGCGAAGCUCUUGAUCGAAGCCCCGGUAAACGGCGGCCGUAACUAUAACGGUCCUAAGGUAGCGAAAUUCCUUGUCGGGUAAGUUCCGACCUGCACGAAUGGCGUAAUGAUGGCCAGGCUGUCUCCACCCGAGACUCAGUGAAAUUGAACUCGCUGUGAAGAUGCAGUGUACCCGCGGCAAGACGGAAAGACCCCGUGAACCUUUACUAUAGCUUGACACUGAACAUUGAGCCUUGAUGUGUAGGAUAGGUGGGAGGCUUUGAAGUGUGGACGCCAGUCUGCAUGGAGCCGACCUUGAAAUACCACCCUUUAAUGUUUGAUGUUCUAACGUUGACCCGUAAUCCGGGUUGCGGACAGUGUCUGGUGGGUAGUUUGACUGGGGCGGUCUCCUCCUAAAGAGUAACGGAGGAGCACGAAGGUUGGCUAAUCCUGGUCGGACAUCAGGAGGUUAGUGCAAUGGCAUAAGCCAGCUUGACUGCGAGCGUGACGGCGCGAGCAGGUGCGAAAGCAGGUCAUAGUGAUCCGGUGGUUCUGAAUGGAAGGGCCAUCGCUCAACGGAUAAAAGGUACUCCGGGGAUAACAGGCUGAUACCGCCCAAGAGUUCAUAUCGACGGCGGUGUUUGGCACCUCGAUGUCGGCUCAUCACAUCCUGGGGCUGAAGUAGGUCCCAAGGGUAUGGCUGUUCGCCAUUUAAAGUGGUACGCGAGCUGGGUUUAGAACGUCGUGAGACAGUUCGGUCCCUAUCUGCCGUGGGCGCUGGAGAACUGAGGGGGGCUGCUCCUAGUACGAGAGGACCGGAGUGGACGCAUCACUGGUGUUCGGGUUGUCAUGCCAAUGGCACUGCCCGGUAGCUAAAUGCGGAAGAGAUAAGUGCUGAAAGCAUCUAAGCACGAAACUUGCCCCGAGAUGAGUUCUCCCUGACUCCUUGAGAGUCCUGAAGGAACGUUGAAGACGACGACGUUGAUAGGCCGGGUGUGUAAGCGCAGCGAUGCGUUGAGCUAACCGGUACUAAUGAACCGUGAGGCUUAACCUUACAACGCCGAAGCUGUU
rnacentral:rRNA from 1 species